AAAUUGAAGAGUUUGAUCAUGGCUCAGAUUGAACGCUGGCGGCAGGCCUAACACAUGCAAGUCGAACGGUAGCACAGAGAGCUUGCUCUCGGGUGACGAGUGGCGGACGGGUGAGUAAUGUCUGGGAAACUGCCUGAUGGAGGGGGAUAACUACUGGAAACGGUGGCUAAUACCGCAUAACGUCGCAAGACCAAAGAGGGGGACCUUCGGGCCUCUUGCCAUCAGAUGUGCCCAGAUGGGAU
rnacentral:rRNA from 8 species